rnacentral:rRNA from 1 species
GACGAACGCUGGCGGCGUGCCUAAUACAUGCAAGUCGAACGCACUCUCGUUUAGAUUGAAGGAGUUUGCUCCUGAUUGAUAAACAUUUGAGUGAGUGGCGGACGGGUGAGUAACACGUGGGUAACCUGCCCUAAAGUGGGGGAUAACAUUUGGAAACAGCUGCUAAUACCGCAUAAAACCUAACACCGCAUGGCGUAGGGUUGAAAGAUGGUUUCGGCUAUCACUUUAGGAUGGACCCGCGUUGCAUUAGUUAGUUGGUGGGGUAAAGGCUCACCAAGACCGUGAUGCAUAGCCGACCUGAGAGGGUAAUCGGCCACACUGGGACUGAGACACGGCCCAGACUCCUACGGGAGGCAGCAGUAGGGAAUCUUCCACAAUGGACGAAAGUCUGAUGGAGCAACGCCGCGUGAGUGAAGAAGGUUUUCGGAUCGUAAAACUCUGUUGUUGGGGAAGAAUGUAUCUGAUAGUAACUGAUCAGGUAGUGACGGUAUCCAAACAGAAAGCCACGGCUAACUACGUG